CCCAGCUUGCUGGGUGGAUUAGUGGCGAACGGGUGAGUAACACGUGAGCAACCUGCCCCUGACUCUGGGAUAACAGCCGGAAACGGUUGCUAAUACCGGAUAUGCAUCAUGGCCGCAUGGUCUGUGGUGGGAAAGAUUUUUCGGUUGGGGAUGGGCUCGCGGCCUAUCAGCUUGUUGGUGAGGUAGUGGCUCACCAAGGCGUCGACGGGUAGCCGGCCUGAGAGGGUGACCGGCCACACUGGGACUGAGACACGGCCCAGACUCCUACGGGAGGCAGCAGUGGGGAAUAUUGCACAAUGGGCGGAAGCCUGAUGCAGCAACGCCGCGUGAGGGAUGACGGCCUUCGGGUUGUAAACCUCUUUUAGCAGGGAAGAAGCGAAAGUGACGGUACCUGCAGAAAAAGCGCCGGCUAACUACGUGCCAGCAGCCGCGGUAAUACGUAGGGCGCAAGCGUUAUCCGGAAUUAUUGGGCGUAAAGAGCUCGUAGGCGGUUUGUCGCGUCUGCUGUGAAAACCCGAGGCUCAACCUCGGGCCUGCAGUGGGUACGGGCAGACUAGAGUGCGGUAGGGGAGAUUGGAAUUCCUGGUGUAGCGGUGGAAUGCGCAGAUAUCAGGAGGAACACCGAUGGCGAAGGCAGAUCUCUGGGCCGUUACUGACGCUGAGGAGCGAAAGGGUGGGGAGCAAACAGGCUUAGAUACCCUGGUAGUCCACCCCGUAAACGUUGGGAACUAGUUGUGGGGGGCCUUUCCACGGUCUCCGUGACGCAGCUAACGCAUUAAGUUCCCCGCCUGGGGAGUACGGCCGCAAGGCUAAACUCAAAGG
rnacentral:rRNA from 1 species